UCCCUGAUAGCUCAGUGGUAAAGAAUCUGCCUGCAAUGCAGGAGACCCCGUUUUGAUUCCUGAGUCAGGGAG
rnacentral:tRNA from 1 species